AAAUGUACUGGAACAGCUGCCUGCUCCCUGCUGUUCUGCAUGGAAUUAUUUCCUGGUACUAUCCCCACCGUGAAACGAAUUUCACUACAGCAUCUCCAGACAAAAUAAAGAAAUGGAGCCCUCGAGAAGUUAAGCAGUUUGCCCAAGAUCAUACAGCUGCAAUUUGUAUUGCAACAAAAUUUGUGACCUGCCUAAAUUUUCACCAUCAUUCAUAUUUCUGUCACACUCUGGAUCCUCCAUCUACCAAAAAUGAAUAUAGUGACAUGGCCACGCACCUGAGGAAUCCUUUUACUUCCCACAGGAGGAAGAGAAUUCCUCAAAUCCCACAAAGGCAACUCUUCUUCCUGAAGACAGCAGCUUUGCCAGUAAUGAGGGCAACAUUCCCAAUAC
rnacentral:lncRNA from 10 species